AGAACGAACGCUGGCGGCAUGCCUAACACAUGCAAGUCGAACGAACCCUUCGGGGUUAGUGGCGCACGGGUGCGUAACGCGUGGGAACCUACCAUCAGGUUCGGAAUAACAGUUAGAAAUGACUGCUAAUACCGGAUAAUGUCUUCGGACCAAAGAUUUAUCGCCUUUUGAUGGGCCCGCGUUGGAUUAGCUAGUUGGUAAGGUAAAAGCUUACCAAGGCGACGAUCCAUAGCUGGUCUGAGAGGAUGAUCAGCCACACUGGGGCUGAGACACGGCCCAGACUCCUACGGGAGGCAGCAGUGGGGAAUAUUGGACAAGUGGGCAAAGCCUGAUCCAGCAAUGCCGCGUGAGUGAUGAAGGCCUUAGGGUUGUAAGCUCUUUUACUGGGGAUGAUAAUGACAGUACCCAGAGAAUAAGCUCCGGCUAACUCCGCGCCAGCAGCCGC
rnacentral:rRNA from 1 species